GACGAACCGUCCAAACGUUGUUCGGAAUCACUGGGCUUAAAGGGCGCGUAGGCGGGUUCCCAAGUCAGUCGUGAAAUCUCUCGGCUCAACCGAGAAACGUCGGCUGAUACUGCCGUUCUUGAGGGAUGCAGAGGAGACUGGAAUUCCCGGUGUAGCGGUGAAAUGUGUAGAGAUCGGGAGGAACACCGGUGGCGAAGGCGGGUCUCUGGGCAUUUCCUGACGCUGAGGCGCGAAAGCGUGGGGAGCAAACGGG
rnacentral:rRNA from 1 species